AGGUCAUUGAGUCCAGCCUGUGACCCAUCCCCACCUUGUCACCAACCCAGAGCACUGAGUGCCACCUCCAGUCAUUCCUUGAGCACCUCCAGGGAUGGGGACUCCAAACCUCUCUGGGCAGCCCCAUUCCCAUGCCUGACACAACACCUAUGGAAUGCUUCAUGGAUUUGUGUGUCCUCACCUGGCUCUGGGGGUGAGCAGCAGCAAUCUCAUGACAUACUCAGAGCACUGAUGCAGGACGGCAUUUCAGCAAUUUCUCUGCUCAUCUACAGUAUUUCACUCUCAUCCCUCAGGUGCUCCAGAGUGCCCUACACAACACAAUCAAAUUAUUGGAGCUCUACUAGGAGAGAAGAUUGGAUUAGCAGCUAAACAAACCGGAUCAGAGUCAUGACCCUGAGUGGGUUUUCUGCAGCCUCUCACCUGCUGGACUGUUAAACCUCUGCUUAAAUUCAAUACUUCCACGAGCUUCUCCAAACCUGGACACCUGGAGCAAGACUAGCUGAGUGCUCGUGGCAGAGGGGUUGGAAGAAGAAAAUCUUCAAGGUUCCUCCCAACCCAAACCAUUCUGUGCUUCAUGUCCCAGGAUCCACCUCCCAUUCCAGAGCAGGGAGACACCUCUUUCCUCAGAUUUCUUUCUCAUCUUGGAGCAGGGUCUUCCUGGCAGCCCUUGCAUGUGCAUUCCCCCUUGGAUGUUUCUCCCACGUUCCUACUGUUGCCUGGCCAAACCUUGCCCUCCUUGUGACUCUGACGGUGCCUUUCUGGUUUAAAACAGAGUAAAAUUGAAGUGGUGACUGGAGAAAAUGACAUCAGCAUUUAAAUAGAUUUCCUGAGGAAAUUUUUAAUGGUCAUUUUUAUAGCUUAUUUUGUGCUUUUUAACUUUUUUCUCCCUGGUCAAAGGUCAAGGAAUUAUUUCAUACAGACCAGUACAGGAAAAGAGCUAAUUCUGACUAAUCUCAGGGGGUUGAUUGUUUUGAUUCAUUUUCAUUCUGAGCAUUGAUGGCCUUCAGAGAGUUUCUUUGGAUGAAUCAAAAUAUUCUCCACCUCUGGGUUUAGGCAAUACAAAAACUUAACAAGUCGCUUCACAUUUAAGAGCAAAACUCCCUAAAUGGGAGCA